UACAGAGGGGGCAAGCGUUGUUCGGAAUUACUGGGCGUAAAGGGCGCGUAGGCGGUCAGCACAAGUCAGUUGUGAAAUCUCCGGGCUUAACUCGGAAAGGUCAACUGAUACUGUGCGACUAGAGUGCGGAAGGGGCAACUGGAAUUCCAGGUGUAGCGGUGAAAUGCGUAGAUAUCUGGAGGAACACCGGUGGCGAAGGCGGCAUUCUGGACUGCAACUGACACUGAAAGACGAAAGCCAGGGGAGCAAACGGG
rnacentral:rRNA from 1 species